ACAACACUUACUUUCAGCGCAAUUCAAUUAAAAAGUUAUGUUAUAGAAGAUAGAAAAAUAUCAAUAUCUGUUUUCAAUAACUUGGCUUUCAUAGAAAAUCUAAGAGACUGUUUACUGUUUGACUCCUGUCCCAAUCUAACCUAGUGGGUUCAAAAAGAAGGGACCGCGCUGGAAACAUGAGUGGAUUAAAAGGAUCAGCCCUUUUUGAAUUAAUAGUCGAAGUGGUAACCAGCUAGAAGUCGUAACCUGCUCGUAUGAAAGGAUUUCUCGACGUGAAAUUGUUAAUUUUAUUCAACAACGCCAAGAAACAGAGCUCGCUCAAGAAACAGAAAAGAAAGAGAAAGA